CAAUAGCGUAUAUUAAAGUUGUUGCGGUUAAAAGCUCGUAGUUGGAUUUCUGCCGAGGACGACCGGUCCGCCCUCUGGGUGAGUAUCUGGCUUGGCCUGGGCAUCUUCUUGGAGAACGUAGCUGCACUUGACUGUGUGGUGCGGUAUCCAGGACUUUUACUUUGAGGAAAUUAGAGUGUUCACGGCAGGCUAUCGCCAGAAUACAUUAGCAUGGAAUAAUACUAUAGGAUCUCGGUUCUAUUUUGUUGGUUUCUAGAAUUGAGAUAAUGAUUAAUAGGGACAAUUGGGGGCAUUCGUAUCAACACGUUAGAGGUGAAAUUCUUGGAUCGUGUUGCGACGAACUACUGCGAAAGCAUUUGCCAAGGAUGUUUUCAUUGAUCAAGAACGAAAGUAAGGGGAUCGAAGACGAUCAGAUACCGU
rnacentral:rRNA from 1 species